UCCUGGUUAGCUCAGUUGGUAGGGGGCUCCGCUGGAAAUGGAGAGGUCACUGGUUCGAAACUAGAACCAGGCG
rnacentral:tRNA from 1 species